GAUAAACGCUAGCGGCAGGCUUAACACAUGCAAGUCGAGGGGCAGCAUAGAUUGUAGCAAUACAAUUGGUGGCGACCGGCGCACGGGUGCGUAACGCGUAUGCAACCUACCCGUCACAGGGGGAUAAUCCGGAGAAAUCUGGUCUAAUACCCCAUAACAUAUGGAUCGGCAUCGGUUCAUGUUGAAAUUUUCGGAGGUGACGGAUGGGCAUGCGUAGCAUUAGCUUGUUGGUGAGGUAACGGCUCACCAAGGCGACGAUGCUUAGGGGGACUGAGAGGUUUUCCCCCCACACUGGUACUGAGACACGGACCGGACGCCGACGGGAGGCAGCAGUGAGGAAUAUUGGUCAAUGGGCGCAAGCCUGAACCAGCCAUGCCGCGUGCAGGAUGACGGCUCUAUGAGUUGUAAACUGCUUUUGUACGAGGGUAAAGUGGGUUACGUGUAACCUUUUGAAAGUAUCGUACGAAUAAGGAUCGGCUAACUCCGUGCCAGCCGCCGCCGUAA
rnacentral:rRNA from 1 species